rnacentral:rRNA from 1 species
AUUGAACGCUGGCGGCAGGCUUAACACAUGCAAGUCGAACGAGUGGCGGACGGGUGAGUAAUGCUUGGGAAUCUAGCUUAUGGAGGGGGAUAACUACGGGAAACUGUAGCUAAUACCGCGUACCCUAGGAUGAGCCCAAGUGGGAUUAGGUAGUUGGUGAGGUAAAGGCUCACCAAGCCGACGAUCUCUAGCUGGUAUGAGAGGAUGACCAGCCACACGGGGAUGAAGAAACGGCCCAGACACCGACGGAAGGCAGCAGUGGGGAAUAUUGCGCAAUGGGGGAAACCUGACGCAGCCAUGCCGCGGGAAUGAAGAAGGCCUGCGGGUUGUAAAAUGCUUUCGGUAGCGAGGCGUUAACUACAGAAGAAGCACCGGCUAACUCCGUGCCAGCCGCCGCGGUAAUUC